GUAACUUCAUCAAAUGCGUGCUGAUUCUGGUGUCUUGCAUUGAACCACAGUAAUGAAUUGUUGGACCUCCUUUCGCAUGUAUACUAAUUAUACAUACAGAAUGCAUUUAUAUAUUCAAUUUUGAGGCUAAGAGAUUGUCUAUAUUAAUGGAUUUGGAGAGGGCAGUUAGGUACUAGAAGCUAUUAGGACCUGUCACUGUCUCUUAAUGCUAUCCUCUGUCACUAAAAGUACAAGCUGAGUGAACAAUUAGAAUGUGACAUGAUUUCCAAACCCCAAAAUAGACCCAAAAUCUCAAUGUGUUUGGUUAGGUAUAACCUUACAUCUUUAUGUCGGCAUAAUGUGGUCUCCUCUGCAGGCUGAUAGUAACUCUCUUGGCAACUUGAUACAUGUUUGUACAUCAAAGCAUAUCGGUGUGCUUAUAUUUGAAUUACCAUUCUUGUAUUUAUACUAGUAGCAAUAGAAAAACAUUUAAAUGUUCUUAAUUCAACCACAGGUGUUUUCUUACACAGAGUUCAUUGACGCAAAAGAUGCAUAUAGCUGAUCAUGAAUAGUUACAUUAUGACUUUUAUUGUUGUUGUGCUUGUUUGCACUUGCUGGUUUUAUUGGAAAAUUCUCACUGAUCUAGGCUAUGUUGGUGAAACUUCUCAAUAAGAAAUAUUUUUUUCUUUAUUAAUGACAUCAAGAUAUUUUCUAAUACUGUAGCUGAAGCUAUUUGCACGAGCAGUCUUUCUAUAAAAUUAAGUUCCUUUAUCAACAUAGAACCAAAUAAACUAGUAGCAUUUCUUGAUCAAGGCAGCUUUCUUACCUCUUGGUUCAUUUUUCAGAAAAUUUGUUGCCUUUCUCAGGUCUUUCAUCGAAGUUGUAAUUUUUUGUCAAGUUGUAUUAACAAUGGCAUCUUUAGCAUGUUGAACCUCACAGGUAACUUUUUUGUUAAUUUCUUAAACAGUGUAUUUUCUAGUUACCUGUCUUUCUAGACUUGUAACUAGGUCAUCUCUUUACAUUCAUGAUGAAAAGGUUCAAUUAUUCUGCAAGUGCUCACUUGAAAUGUUUCAGGUUUUAGUUGUAGUAGGACAUUAGUGAAUCUGAUGUUAGAUAAAACAGUAUGCAUCUUUGACUUAGUCUGAAUUCUGAAGUACCCCUUGCAAGUCAUUGACUGAUGUUCAACCUAUUAGUACAAACUUGAAUAUCAUCCAUAUAUGAUCAACGUAAUGAAUGCCAUUGCCACUCUUAUGCAGCAUGUUUGAUGAAGAUACAUUUGAUAUGAUUUUCUAAUUGCUGCUGGGAUAUAGUGUGCUUCACAGUUUCUAAAGCUCCUAACUACAAUAGAGAAAUAAUGGAAGGUAGUGUCAGUGCGCAUGUGUCACAUCAAGCCAUUGUUUCAGUGGUGUAGAAUUGCAAGGAUGGAAGUGUGAUAAUAAGUAAAUUAUCCAAGGUAUUCUUAAUCAACUCUCAUACACAAUUUAGAGAUUUAUUUCUGAAAGAAAUGGCUUAUGGAAACUGAAUGCAGGUGGAUUAACAUGAGUGGUAGAGGAAUGUCGUCGGAUCAGAUGAUUAGUUGAAAGUUUUCAACUUCCUUCUGGUUGGAAGCAGAUACAGAAAAUAUAUAUAGUUUUGGUGCCCUCGAUUUGAGGUAGAAGAGGAAUCUGAACAUAGAGCAUCCAGCAAUAAGACUACUUUUCUUGUAUUUUUCUGCAAACAGUACGUGAUACUGCUUCAAAAGAUCAUGUUUUUGGUGCAAAAGAGGCUCUUUUGCUAUCUGCCAAGUAACAAGUCCACUAUCCAUCUUUCCUCCUAUCAACUUUGCGGUCUGUUUAACUUCUCCACUGCUAAAGACCAAAGUUCAGAGCAUAGUUCCAACUUUAUAGUGGUCGACUCCCUUCAUUCAUGUGAACUUUCCUCAGAGAAGGCUGCAAAAAAAGCCAAGUAUCACACCUGUCACAAAAAUUCUUCGAGUCUUUCCAUUGAGUUCUUUAAGCAGAGCGGUUGGAGUGAUGCACAAGUCAUGAAACUUAUCCGGAAGUCACCGCUGUUGCUGCGUACUAAGGUAGAGACUGCCCUGAAGCCCAGAAUGAGAUCUUUGAAGGACAUGGGAUUUUCUGACACUGAAAUAGUUCAGCUGGUUUCAUCAUGUCCAUCUGUACUCCUUUUACGUGAUAUCCAACCAAAGAUCGACUUCUGGAGGUCACUACUUGGUUCUAAUGAGAGGUUACUGAAUGCCUCUAGGAGGAACAUGUUUCUACUUGGUUCUAGCAUGGAUCGGAAGAUAGAACCUAAUGUAUCUCUCUUAAGGGAAUGUGGCAUCAGUGACAAACGCAUCGUGUAUAUGGUGAUGACAACGCCGGCCAUUAUGGGUCGAUCAAACAAAUAUAUGAAGGAAGCUAUCAAAUUAGUUAAGGAGUUGGGUGUGCCAUGUAACUGUAGAAUGUUCCCUUAUGCACUUAGUAUGGUCACCGGCAUGAGCCGAUCCAGGUUUUAUGAUACCUUUGCAACCCUGAUGAACUUUGGGUUCUCCCUGCAAGACAUCAUAGCUGCAUUCAGGAAGCAUCCAACCAUUUGGUAUUUGUCGAAGAAGAACAUAUGUGACAAGAUGACUUUCCUGUUGAAGGAAGCUGGUUGUGAGCUGACAUAUAUCAUUUCCCAUCCUGUGAUUCUUGCAUACAGCUUGGAGAAGAGGUUGAAACCUCGAUAUGCAAUUCUGAAUUUUCUUGAGCAGAAUAAAUUGCUGGAUAAAGUAUAUAGCCUGAUGUCCGUGAUAAUGCUAUCGGAAAAGAAGUUCCAAAAUAAAUUUCUUUUCCUGCUUCGCGAGGAGAAAUCUAUUGCUCUAUAUGAUUCCUAUUUGAAAUCUGUUGCUCAAUAGGAUUCCUAUGUUGCUGCUGGGCAUGGAAAGCACCAUGUUGUUUGGGAAAAUUAGGAUUGCAUGUGCUUCCUCAGACAAAGUGUCAACUUAUUGCACACUUAUUUAAUCAUGUUAAAUUUGUGACAAUUUAAAUUCUCCAAGGAGCUUCUUUUCUUUUAUUCUUUGGUACAACAAAAGAUACGGAUUCUUUUAUGCAGAAAUAUAGUGAACCAACGGGGAGAAGUCUUACUUAAGAAAGAUAUAAAGGUAACUAAAAUGUUUCAACUCUGUCAGCUAUCUGUGUCAACUUGGCAUCAGUCGUAUUAAUUUAGAUGAUUAAGAACUUGUUAAUUAUGUGAGUAUGAAUAGGGACUAAUAUAUGAUAGUAAAGAGUUAAUUGUGUGAGGGCUUUCUUUGUCAGAAUCCCAUCACCUCUCCACCGGCUCUAAAUUACAUCUCUAUUUAUAUGGAAUGAAACCUCUAUUGUUACAUGUUGUUAAUCAUGCACUAAUAUAUGAUAGUUAAGUGUGAUUUAUUGAAGAUAUCGAUUUACUAUAUACUAUUGUUGAAAAAUGAACCCACGAGAGUAAUACCUUUCGAUUUAUUGUUGGAGCGCACUAACGAAUAUUCAGUUAUGCAAAGAUGAUUAUUAUAAUAUGAUGAUUGAAUUUUGUGUAUACUAUGGUACAUUAGUGCAUGUGGCAAUUAUGAGAUUUAUUAGAUAGUAUCAACAUGCACUAUUGUAAGAGGCCCCGUGAGAUCAACGUGCACUAUUGUGAGAUUUAUUAUAUAGUAUCAACUGUCACCUCUCUCUCCCUCUCUCUCUCUCUUUCUCAGCCCGUGACUGCAUGCAUGCAUCCCAAUAUUCGUUCUAGUCAUCGUUCUAGUCAUAUCCAGACAUACUCACACAUUAAGAAUUUAAGAGUCAUCGGUUCAUCUCAAGCUUGCUUCUUAAUGUUCAAUUUAAUGCACUAAGCAAUAGAUAUGGUUUAAGGUAACAACACUCUCUCGAGUGAAGUGAACGGGUCUCGGCGCCCCCCUGAUUCAAAUCAGAGAGGACUAUAUUGGAUCUGAGCACAACAUAAGUCACUGGAUCUGGUUCGAUGGAACCAAAUGAAGGACUCUCCUCUCUCACACACAACUAUAUCAAUGGCCACGCGUCCAAUGAGAAGACUCGUGGAAACCUAAUCAGCCACCGGCGGCACCGUCUUCCUCUCCAUCCGCGAAUGGCGGCGGCAGCAAUGUCUUCCUCAGCGGGCUCAUCGUUGGUAUCUUUCUCCUCCUCCUCCUCCUCCUCAUCCUUUGCCGUCGCCCACUCUGCCCCAACCGCCUCCCUCCAUCUUCCCGCCCCCACCUUCGCCGUAGCCCCCCCGCGACCGGCGUCUGCCCCUGCCUCUUCCUUUCCCCUCGUCGUAGCCGUCUUACCCCUUCCUUCCUGCGCCGGCGUUUUCCCUUCUCCUCCCUACGUCGGCGUCUUCUUUCAUUGUAUCAUCCUUUCACCCCCGCAGCGUCUUCUCCCCCCUUCGCUUCGCUGCAGCCGCUUGAUAAGACCCUAAGGUUUUAUCAGGGAAAAAAUUGGGAGAAAAGGGGACGAUCACUUCGAGAUGAUCGGCCUCCUUGAUCACUUCGAGGGGAUCGUCGACGGGAACUUGUCUUCGUGCCCGGCACCCAGUGUGCAGCUGUUUGUUCAACAUUCUAAAGUUUUUGUUUUUCUCAUUUAUCUCUUUUCUCUUAUGCACGCAAAGUGUUCGCUGAAUGGCUUUUAAAGCUUUUCUUUUUGUGGGACGUCGGGACUUGUCCGUUGUUUAUUCUUCGAACUAAUCAACUUUUUCUUAUGCACGCAAGGUGUUCGCUGACCUUUGCGGACACAUAUCACAAGGGCACGUCAUGACUUUGGCAAUCCCAAUUAAGUCCAAGAAGUUGACGCAACGGCGCUUUGCGACUUAGGCAACUCAAGCCAAAUUUGUGUCUUGGCCGCAAGGGUGCCUCACGACUUAGGCAAUUCCAGUUAAGUCCGUGACAAGGCGACGGUGAAGAAGGAGGCAACGAGGGUCACGGUUGGGAUGUGUUGGCCGGGAGCAGUGGCGGUGGCGGUUGCUGGCCGAAGAUGCAAGGCUGACCCUGUUUUGGUCGCCGCGAGGAGGAGAGGUCGAGCGGCUGCGGUUGCGAUUGCGACCCAAGGGGGGGCGGGCGACGGUGGAGAAGGAGGCAGCGAGGUUCACGACUGGGAGGUGGGCGACGGUCAUCGUUGGCCGGGAACUUGCUGUGGUGGAGAGGGGAAAGAGGGAUGCUCUGUUUCUAUCGCACCACAGCAGGAGCCACUGGCGAUGUCGAAGGAUCGCGAGCGGUUGAGGAGAAGGCUGGCAACGGUGGUGGCUCGGGUGGGAGGUGACGGGCGACGGUGGACUCUGGCCGGGGAGCGGGGCUGUGGUGGGAUGGGACAUUGGCAGCGUCGUCUCCUGGCAGCGGUGGUGGCUUGGGUGGGAGGCAACAGGCGAUGGUGGACUCCGGCCGGGAAGCAGGGCGGUGGUGGUAGCGGCGGUGGGGUUGGUUGGAAGUAGGGAAAGUAUGAGCCCUUUCCACCAGCGACAGUGGUGGAGGAGAGGGGAAGCAGGGGUUCUCGGUUGUGCGUGGCUGCGCCCCCUUUUUUUUUUUUUAUGAUAACUACAACGAGGACUCCGAGGAUCGCUGCUCUGAUACCAAAUGAUAAGACCCUAGGGUUUUAUUAUGGAAAAAAAGGGAGAAAAGGGGAUGAUCACUUCGAGGGGAUCGACCUCCUAGGGUUUGUCAAAAGACUUAAUAAUAUUUCAUUGUCUCCGAAAAGAAACGAUUACAUCAUUAUUUAUAGAGUUCCACUUAGAAUCCAUCACGACUUGGACUCUUAAUAAUAAAUAAAUAUUAAAUAAAUUUCUAUCCGAUUCUAACUGAAUUAAACAUACUCAAUAAACAUUAUUCAAAAGUUUAGAAAAUAAAAAGGAUCCUAACAUCGCCCCAGCAACCCAACCGACAUUGACAACCAUUCUAACCCGUACCUCCUCCUCCUCCUCGGAUCCUUCAUCCUUGACCCCCUCCCAACUGACAACAACCCCCUCUUCAUCCUCCUCCUUCUAUGUAAAUUGUUUUAUUAAUAUAGAUUUGAACAAGUAUUAUUUGGUCCUUUAAAUGAUUACCAUGUUUCUUUUUUUGUUUUAGCGAUUAUAUCUAUUAAUCAUGAUAUAUACUUUUAAAAUUUUAAGAAGCAUCUCUCUUCACUUGGGCCAGCGCCUAGCCAAGCACCUAGCAUCUCAGGCGUUUUGACACUUUGGCGUCGUUUAGUGUCUCUCACCCGCGACCACACUGCUAUAGCACAACUUGGUUCACUUGUUUGGUUCCAUUUAAUUAUUCAGACCCAUGCAUGUUGCCACACUUGGUUGAUGUUAGUUUUCAUGCUUGGUCCUUUAUGUGCAUGUUUGAAUUCAUCUGAACCAAAUUGAGCACAUCACAGCUCCACAAAAAAAUCAUUGGAUUUGAGCUGCAUUGGUUAUAUAUGUAUUCUAAAAAUGUUAUGAGAUUCAAGUGAGAUUGUCUUGAUUCAAUUUUAACCUAAACAUGUUUCAGCUGCAUUCCCUCGCAACAAGUUCUAUGCAUAAACUAACCUGUCCAUGAGUCCCUCAUGCAUAAUGUCUGCCUGCAUAUACAUGUUUGAUUGCAUGCCAUUAUCUUAUUGUAUCAAUCUUUUGAUCCUAUUAUUAUUUUUUUUGUUGCUUACCACAUAAGUCGGUUGGUUCUAAAAUGGUUAUGAAUGGCAAAGAAGUUUGUAAUAUGACUUUUGUUUAUCGUUACCUAUUUGUUGCUCAGACAUAAUAAUAUAUGUGCAAUUUAGUUAUCAGAUAGAACCACACACAUGGGAACAUUGCACAUAUUUCUUGUCUGUUUUUGGCUCUUGUGGUAACUUCAUCACAUAAGUGCUGAUUCCGGUGUCUUGCAUUGAACCACAGUAAUGAAUUGCUGGACCUCCUUUCGCAUGUAUUUACUAAUUAUGCAUACAGAAUGCAUUUAUAUAUUUGAUUUUGUGGCUAACGGAUUGUCUAUAUUAAUGGGAUUUGGAGAGGGCAGUUAGGUACUAGAAGCUAUUAGGAGCUGUCACUGUAUCUUCAUGCUAUCCUCUUCACAUCGAAGCUCUCAUUUUUCUUUUUUGUUGUUGUACAUGCCUCUGGAUCGUUCAUCAAUCAAUGUGAUUUUGUAUUUUGCUGUGCUUAGAUUUUAUUUUUCAUUUUUUUCUUCUUUUCAUUUCUUUGCUAUGAGAUGGUAGAUUUGUGCCUUGGCGGUCAUUAUAAACUGUGGUUUCAUUUUACAUUUUGAAACAUUAGUCAUUUUGGCAUCCAAAAUAAUUUUAUGUGACAUUUCAAAUUUCCUAUGACAUCAAUUACUUUGUUUUGUUCUUGAACAUUGGUACAGUGACAUGGUAUAAGUGAUCUUUUAUACAUGCUCAUUUGGUGAUCAUUGUAACUCGUAAAGGAGGUCAUGAAAAUAAUUUUGACUAAUAUUAGUUUAAAUUUACUUUACUUGAUUGUGGCCCAGAUAAUGUAAUCAAAUGUGGUGCUCGGCAUUUGAAAAUUUUCUUAUUAUACAAUAUCUCCAAUGAUGCGUAUUUAGUGACAACUGAAUUAAUUUCUGGCUCUUGGAUAUGAGCUGGUUCAGAACUGACCUUAGAUGGUGAAUUUUUCAAUCUCAGAUGUUCAAUGUUCUGAAAAUGCAUGCAUGUCAUUUACGAGCAUUUACUUUGGAGAAACAGCAAGCAACAACAUGCAAGUUAAAUACUGUUUAUUAAGAUGGACAGCAGGAGAAGUGCUGCUUUUAGAGAUAGAAAAGAGAAUUGGAAAGUUUUUUGACAAAAAAAAAGCUUGGAAAAGAUUGAACAAGAGAUAGCAGAGACUGUAAUUGUGUUACUGGCCAAAGAAAAUUAUAUUCAUUUGUCAAUAGAAUCAUGCAUACGUCUGGUGAUUCCUCAUGUGAAGGAUUUUAUUUAUAAAUAUAUCUGAGAUAGUACUAAUCUGAUUAGGUUUCCCAAAAGAAGCCCUCUAAACAGCAGCUGCUUGCUUUGAUAAAAGUGUUUGGUUCAUCAAACCUCUUAGUUUCCUUAUUAUGCCUACCACCACAAUUUCCUUUUCAAACACACCAAAACAUUUCAACAAUCAUCAAAACCCCAAAUGGUUCAAAGGACUUGACUCUCACUAAAAGUACAAGCUGAGCAAACAAUUAGAAUGUGACUUGAUUUCCAAACCCCAAAGUAGACCCAAAAUUUCAAUGUGUUUGGUUAGGUGUAACCUUACAUCUUUAUGUCGGCAUAGUGUGGUCUCCUCUGCAGGCUGAUAACAACUCUCUUGGCAACUUGAUACAUGUUUGUACCUCAAAAGAUAUUGGUGUUCUUAUAUUUGAAUUACCAUUCCUGUAUUUCUACUAGUAGCAAUAGAAAAAUAUUUGAAUUUUCUUAAUUCAACCACAGAUGUUUUCUUACACAGAAUUCAUUGAUGCAAAGGAUGCAUAUAGCGGAUAUGACUUUUAUUAUUGUUGUGCUUGUUUGCACUUGCUCGUUUUAUUGGCAAAUUCUCACAGAUCUAGGUUAUGUUGGUGAAACUUCUCAGUAAGAAAUAUUUCUUCCUUAUUAAUGACAUCAAGGUAUUUUUAAUACUGUAGCUGAAGCUAUUUGCACGAGCUGUCUUUCUCUAAAAUUAAGUUCCUUUAUCAACAUUGAACCAAAUAAACUAGUAGCCUUUCUUGAUCGAGGCACCUUUCUUACCUCUUGGUUCAUUUUAUGGAAAAUUUGUUGCCUUUCUCAGGUCUUUC
rnacentral:lncRNA from 1 species